AAACCAGCACCUCAAGUGGUCAGGAGGAUUAUUGGGCCUAAAGCAUCCGUAGCCUGUUCUAUAAGUUUCCGGUUAAAUCCACUAGCUCAACUAGUGGGCUGCCGAAAAUACUGUAGAACUAGGGAGUGGGAGAGGUAGACGGUAUUCGGUAGGAAGGGGUAAAAUCCUUUGAUCUAUUGAGGACCACCUGUGGCGAAGGCGGUCUACCAGAACACGUUCGACGGUGAGGGAUGAAGGCUGGGGGAGCAAACCGGAUUAGAAACCCCAGUAGUCC
rnacentral:rRNA from 1 species